CGCCUUUACGGUUACCUUGUUACGACUUACUCCCCCUUGCUGAACCGAAGUUCGAGCGCCCCGGAUGAGGCACCCUCACUCCGACCCAACUCGGAUGAGUUGACGGGGGGGGUGUGCAAAGAGCAGGGGCACAUUCACCGCGGGAUGUUGACCCGCGAUUACUACGGAAUCCAUUUUCACGAGGGCGAGUUACAGCCCUCGAUCCAGACUACGAUGGGGUUUCAGGAUUGCCUCCCCCUUUCGAGGUCGGGUCCCAUUGUCCCCACCUUUGUAGCGCGCGUGUUGCCCGGAAGAUUCGGGGCAUACGGACCUACCGUAGACCUCUCCUUCCUCUGCCUUAACGGCAGCGAUCCCGCUAGUGUGCUCCUACAAUCGCUUGUAAGAUCGCGACUAACGGCGAGGGUCUCGUUCGUUAUCUGACUUAACAGAACGCCUUACGGUACGAACUGACGACGGACAUGCACCACCUCUCGGAGAAUCGGGCAAGGUCUUCAGCCUGGCUUUCAUCCCUCCGUCGCCUCCGGUGAGUUUUCCGGCGUUGAAUCCAAUUGAACCGCACGCUCCUCCCGUUGCGGUGCUCUCCCGCCAAUUCCUUUAAGUUUCAGUCUUGCGACCGUACUCCCCAAGCGGCAGACUCAACACCUUCGCUCCGGCACUGGGAGCCCACGCAGGACCCCCAACACCAAGUCUGCAGCGUUUACACCCUAGACUACCGGGGUAUCUAAUCCCGUUUUGCGCCCUAGGGCUUCGUCCCUCACUGUCGGAUUCGCUCUAUGUGAACGCCUUCGUCCACUGCGUGGAUCCCCCCAUGCAUUACAGGAUUUUACCACUUACCCCGGGAGUAGCGGUCAAUUCUACUCCUCGAUCUCAAG
rnacentral:rRNA from 1 species